rnacentral:rRNA from 2 species
UUCCAGCUCCAAUAGCGUAUAUUAAAGUUGUUGCGGUUAAAAAGCUCGUAGUUGAAUUUGUGUUCCGCACUGUCGGUUCACCGCCCGCGGUGCUAACUGGCAUGUUUGCGGAACGUCCUGCCGGUGGAUGUUCAGUAAGUGAUUUCGGUCAUUUACACAUCCGACUUAUAAAUCCUGUCGCGGUGCUCUUAAUUGAGUGUCGAGGCGGGCCGGCACGUUUACUUUGAACAAAUUAGAGUGCUCAAAGCAGGCUAACUAAUGCCUGAAUAAUUAGUGCAUGGAAUAAUGAAACAGGACCUUGGUUCUAUUUUGUUGGUUUUCGGAACCCCAAGGUAAUGAUUAAUAGGGACAGAUGG